GAUGAACGCUGGCGGCGUGCCUAAUACAUGCAAGUCGAGCGAACGGACGAGAAGCUUGCUUCUCUGGUGUUAGCGGCGGACGGGUGAGUAACACGUGGAUAACCUACCUAUAAGACUGGGAUAACUUCGGGAAACCGGAGCUAAUACCGGAUGAUAUUUUGAACCGCAUGGUUCAAAAGUGAAGGACGGUCUUGCUGUCACUUAUAGAUGGAUCCGCGCUGCAUUAGCUAGUUGGUAAGGUAACGGCUUACCAAGGCAACGAUGCAUAGCCGACCUGAGAGGGUGAUCGGCCACACUGGAACUGAGACACGGUCCAGACUCCUACGGGAGGCAGCAGUAGGGAAUCUUCCGCAAUGGGCGAAAGCCUGACGGAGCAACGCCGCGUGAGUGAUGAAGGUCUUCGGAUCGUAAAACUCUGUUAUUAGGGAAGAACAUAUGUGUAAGUAACUGUGCACAUCUUGACGGUACCUAAUCAGAAAGCCACGGCUAACUACGUG
rnacentral:rRNA from 1 species